rnacentral:rRNA from 1 species
GACGGGGGGUCCUAGCGUUGUUCGGAAUCAUUGGGCGUAAAGCGUGUGCAGGUGGUUUGGUAAGUUGGAUGUGAAAGCCCCGAGCUUAACUCGGGAAGUGCAUUCAAAACUACCAAACUUGAGUAUGGAAGAGGGUCGUGGAAUUCCAGGUGUAGUGGUGAAAUACGUAGAUAUCUGGAGGAACACCGGCGGCGAAGGCGGCGACCUGGUCCUAUACUGACACUCAUACACGAAAGCGUGGGGAUCAAACAGG